GGGGGGGGGGGUGGGGGAGGAGGACAGAGGGACUGACAUAUUGGAGAGAGAUGGGAGCUAGGGGUUUCGACUCAGUGAGAGAGAGAUUUAGCUAGGUCCUCUGCCAGGACCUAUGGGAUUUCCUCCGAUUUUAGAGAGAGAGAGAGAGAGAGAGAGAGAGAGAUAGAGGGGGAGAGAGGGAGUGGGGAAGGCAUGGUGUGUGCACUUUGUGGGGUUAGCCGGUCAAGAAGGGACCGAGGGAGGUAUGGGAGAGUUUGAUUUUUCGGUUUCCUCCCUUGAUUCAAAAGGACUUCAUUUCCUAUUUACAAGUCAACUCCACAAUACCAAAGUACAAGAGAAGCGAAGAUUUGAGGAAUUUCGAUUGUUGGAGGGAGAAGUUGGUUCCUUGGCAUUUUCAGAAAUUUGGAUCGUUGGAGGGAGCACUUGGCCUUUUGGCUUUUGAGUUAAGGCUGGUGUAUUCAAGUUCCGCAGCAAAGCGCGGGUAUAUUUUCUAGUAUUAUACUAUGAUCUGCAUAUAAAAAAGACUGCGAGCUUGAGGACUAUUUUUGUAGAAAACAUUUUUGUUCUUAAAACACUUUUGCUAGAAGUGUUUUUAUUAGAAACAAGUUAAACUUAAAUAAAACUCCAAGUGCUUUCUUACAAAAUACUAGAAGAGUGCCUUUCAAAUAAGUACAAGUUUUUUCUCCAAAAAUGCUUUUAAGACCAAUAAACACCAACAUUUUUUACCGAGCACAAUCAGAAGCAAUACGAGACCUGCCCGAACUCGUAAAACAGUGUUCACACCAAAAUAUAGGUCAAAAAAUCGAGGGAAACAAA